UACGGAGGAUGCAAGCGUUAUCCGGAAUUAUUGGGCGUAAAGCGUCCGCAGGUGGCUGUUCAAGUCUGCUGUCAAAGCGCAGAGCUUAACUCUGUACAGGCGGUGGAAACUGAAGAGCUAGAGUAUGGUAGGGGUAGAGGGAAUUCCCGGUGUAGCGGUGAAAUGCGUAGAUAUCGGGAAGAACACCAGUGGCGAAAGCGGCGAACUGGACAGCAACUGACACUCAACUGCGAAAGCGUGGGGAGCAAACAGG
rnacentral:rRNA from 1 species